GGAUAUCUCUGACACUAAAACAUAAGUUGGGGUAAGAAAAUUGCAAAUGUAAGAGUUUCGGGCUUUUGGUAAUUUGUUGCUUUUAUGCCGAAAAAGGAAUAGAAAACCCGGACGGAGAGAAAACAAGCAGCUUCUCUUUUGCUGAAUCAAAUCCAUGGCGGUGAUCGGUCCGCCCACGCGCAUAUCGCCGUCUAAAAGAACCGCCUCUUCGACGGAAAAGCUGCUCCGACGUCGCGGAUCGUCGUGGUUCGGUGUCAGAAGACCAAUCUCCGACAAAAUUAGACCAGUGGGUUCCAUGGAAUCAACCAAUCACGUCUCUUCCACCGGUGCAAGACUGAUCGGACCAGAACACUGCAUGAAGCAUGUUUUUGCAUCCCCUAACUUCACACGGAAAUGAAUACAGAUGUGCAAAGUUCUUGGUGGAGGGCUUAGAGCUGAAGAGAUCAAAAUAGCUUUUGCGAGAGUAUGUAAGCAAUGCUUCAGUAGAGGCAAAUCUUGUAAAGGAUUUUUGACUAAGGUUGAAAUGAUCCUCCAAAGCAUUAGAACAUGAAACAGAACAAAGUGCCUCCUCACCCGAGUUCGAACCCCAUCCCAGGCUACCCAUUACCAAAAAAGAACAUUGUGACAGAAGAGAGCCACUCCUCCAUUUCCAUUGUCCAAUGUAGGAAAGUUUCAGACCGAAAUCGGAAAGAGCUGGGCCGCACAGAUCAACUCGAGAAGAAAUCAUCGAUUGGCGAACAAUAUGCAAGUAGUUCAUCUCCCAUUCUCUCGUUGUGACUGUCAAGAAUCGCAGCUUCCACAAUGUACAGGCCUCUUCUUUUCCACAGUUUCUGGUUUUAGGGUUUAUAAAUUUGCUAGUAACAUAUACUGGUUUUUAGAUUUAUGCCAUUUCCAUUGACUCCAAAAACCCAUCUGCUUCACUGGUCAAAGCUUUAUUCAUGGGAAAGUACAUCAACUUUGAUAUUGAGUAUAUUCAAGAUUCUUGAUCAAACCCAUAUCUCUAGGGCAAGGCAAGGGUUUAGAACAUAUCAAUCUCCUUGAGUUGUAUCUCUAUGCUCUUGUCUGAAACCAGAGCCAAAGCCAGCUGAAAAUAUUCUCUCUGCUCUCUCCUCCUCAGAAUAGGAUUUGAUCUCAAUGGCACACACGUGUCAACGCCUAUGCAUACAUGAAUAUACCUAUAUAUAUACGUAUUGUAUAAUUCCAAUUCCACCGACAACAAAAAAAAAAAAGGAAAGGAAAAUUACUCCAAGACCCUUCUCCACAUGGACCUUGGAGGGUAAUAUAUGAUCCUUGAUCACGUGUUCACAUUGCCUUCUUUUUUUUUCCCUCUCUUCUUACCCUUUUGGUCGGAGUUUUUUCUUUUACUUGUGGAUUUCUUCACAAGUAGGCAAGUGAAAAUGGAGAAUGCCACGUGGCAAAAAAACAGAACAAAAGUGGGAUAUAUAAAUGUUUGGAAUCUUUGUUUCACGGGUCGUUACAAAACAAAAAGGAUUAACAUUUUAUGAAUGAAUUUUUUAUGGAGAGCAUAUUUUUAUUAUUGCCGAUUUAGUUUGCAUUAAAUAGUGCAACUGACUCGUGUUUAAAUUAUACAUUUAAAAUACUAAAUUGAAGUAAAAAAAAAACAGUAAGAACUUUGUCUGGUUUACGAAAAAAAAAUGUGUUAUUAUCCAAUUUUUUCCUUUUAAUUGUGGUGAAUAUCAAUGAACUGCGAGUCUUCGAUCUCAUAUUGAACAUAAACGAAUAAUAAAUAUUAGUACUCGUCUUUCCUUUAAACAAAUAAUUUUACGCAAUUGAAAUAUUAAAAUAAUAGUUUUUUGGAGUGAUCAAAGUCAAUCAACUUGAGGUAUGCAUAUAUAUAUAAAUAUAUGUAUAUAAAAUUUUAAAUAUGAUGCAACAUGUGAUUAAAAAAAUUGAAAAGUAGUGAAAAUGACAAAAGACUGACUUCUUAUGCAUAAAUAAAAUUCAGAUUUUGCUGUGAACAAAUCGGAACUUAAGUUAAUACGAAAAGAUCUUUUUAUCGCAUAUUACAUUUUUAUUAUUUAGAUAUAAGAUUUUUUUUAAACACAGGUUUUUUCCACACACAAAAAAAAAACUUUUUGCGGUGAAAAUUCGAAUAUUUUUCUGAUUCUAAAACCUCAAAAUCAUUACAAUGUUUGCUAAAAUUGGAAACUUUUGGAUAUUUUCUGUGAAAAUUUUGGACUCAGAUGAGGAAAUUUCCCCUAAAAGGAUUAACAUAUUUUUUUGUUCUUUUUUCCGUUUUCAGUUAAUUGCUUUAUCAGUGCCGGUGGUAUGGUAGUUUACGUCAACCAAAAAAAAAAGGCAAAUCUAUCUAUUGAUUUAAUGACAGAACUCUGAUUUCUUGACCGUUGAUUUGUCGCCUGAAGCAAAGCAUCUUCACAGAAACAUUAGAAUGAUAUUAUAAGACGAUUUCGUGAAAACUUUCAAUAUGAUUUUCUAGUUUUUUUUUUCCCUAUCGCUGAUUCGAUUCAUCGUUGUUUUCUGGUCUUUUUCUCAGUUUCUUCUGCUCAAACUGGAGAGAGACUGAGGCUUCAAGAUUCGAACUUUUUGCUGCGGAAUUCGAAGAGGUAAAAGAGAGAGAAAGAGUUCGCACGAAGAAGGAGAAGAAAAAAACUUACUUGGGGUUCACUGGUUGAAUCAAAGCUGGAUUCUGAUGUUUCAAGCAGAGAGAUUUUUGAGUUGUGACGUCGGAGAAAGCCUCUCAGAGAUCUGAAGUUGUUGCAUUUGCCAUCGAUUUGCGAAACCUCAGUGAUCUGGUUUCGUGGGUUCUCUCUCUGGGUGAUCUGGAAUCUGGGAUUCGGAAGCGAAUUUGGUGAUCUGGGUUUUGCUCAGCAGUCGAUUUCUCGAUCUGGGUCGGUUUUUAUCUGAUGAAAUAAAUCUCUUCGUGGUUGUCUGCUUUGUGUUGAAGCUCCUGAGUUGAGUGAUUUAGGGUUUAACCUUAGAACAGCUGGGUGUGAUCUUGAAAGUUGAUGUUUCUUUUACGUUAGGAAACAGUGAUUGGUGAUCUGUGGUUUAGGGUUGGUGAAAGUUUGGUUUGUUGGGGGUACUGUCAGAAUCAAGACUGGGAAAUUCAGAUUCAGAUUCAGAUUCGGCUUUAUAAUUUUUUCAUAGAAAGUGAUCAUCUUUGCUUUCUCAUUGAAAGAAACAGUUUUUGAUGCAUUUCCAAUUAGAUUCAGACCAGUUUAGGUUAUAUAACUUCUGUAGAUUUGGUGUUUAGAUUGAAUGGCAACACCUGCUCCACCUCCUGCUUCAACUCCCUCGGCUGAGCCACCGACUGCCAUCAUGGCUUCCCCUCCUGAGCCAAGUGGCAAUGUAGGUAACCCUCCGAUGCCUCCAGCUCAGCCACCGCCUCUGGCCACUCCGCCGGCUCC